rnacentral:lncRNA from 1 species
UAACCUUUUGAUAUUUACAUGUACCUCUUAAAGAUAUGGAAAAUGAAGCAGCUGUCGAGUCAGUUAUUGUGGUAAGUAGAUAUUUUUAUCAAAGUUUCAAUGUUGUGCGCGUGUUUAAGUUUAUUUGGAUUUUUUUGUUUUUUUGUUUGGUUUUUUUUGGGGGGGGGCGGGGACAAAAAGGAUGGAUUAGCUAUAUCUCAUAUCCCAAAAAGUUCAAUCCUUUCAAUUCAUUGCUCAAAAUGAAAGUCAGAAUUCUGUGCGAAAUGAAAAAAAAUUUCCGUCAAUAACUUUAUAACUGCAUUAUCGGAUUCCGUGUUCAU